CCUACGGGUGGCUGCAGUGGGGAAUAUUGGACAAUGGGGGCAACCCUGAUCCAGCCAUGCCGCGUGUGUGAAGAAGGCCCUCGGGUUGUAAAGCACUUUCAGUGAGGAAGAACGCCUGGUGGUUAAUACCCAUCAGGAAAGACAUCACUCACAGAAGAAGCACCGGCUAACUCCGUGCCAGCAGUCGCGGUAAUACGGAGGGUGCGAGCGUUAAUCGGAAUUACUGGGCGUAAAGCGCGCGUAGGUGGCUUGAUAAGCCGGUUGUGAAAGCCCCGGGCUCAACCUGGGAACGGCAUCCGGAACUGUCAAGCUAGAGUGCAGGAGAGGAAGGUAGAAUUCCCGGUGUAGCGGUGAAAUGCGUAGAGAUCGGGAGGAAUACCAGUGGCGAAGGCGGCCUUCUGGACUGACACUGACACUGAGGUGCGAAAGCGUGGGUAGCAAACAGGAUUAGAUACCCCUGUAGUC
rnacentral:rRNA from 1 species